rnacentral:rRNA from 1 species
GACGAACCGUGCGAACGUUGUUCGGAAUCACUGGGCAUAAAGGGCGCGUAGGCGGCUCCUCAAGUCAGGGGUGAAAUCCGGCAGCUUAACUGUCGAAGUGCCUUUGAUACUGGGGAGCUCGAGGGAGGUAGGGGUGUGUGGAACUUCCGGUGGAGCGGUGAAAUGCGUUGAUAUCGGAAGGAACGCCGGUGGCGAAAGCGACGCACUGGACCUCUUCUGACGCUGAGGCGCGAAAGCCAGGGGAGCAAACGGG